rnacentral:rRNA from 1 species
AGUGAACGCUGGCGGUAGGCCUAACACAUGCAAGUCGAACGGCAGCACAGUAAGAGCUUGCUCUUACGGGUGGCGAGUGGCGGACGGGUGAGGAAUACAUCGGAAUCUACUUUUUCGUGGGGGAUAACGUAGGGAAACUUACGCUAAUACCGCAUACGACCUACAGGUGGAAGCAGGGGAUCUUCGGACCUUGCGCGAUUGAAUGAGCCGAUGUCGGAUUAGCUAGUUGGCGGGGUAAAGGCCCACCAAGGCGACGAUCCGUAGCUGGUCUGAGAGGAUGAUCAGCCACACUGGAACUGAGACACGGUCCAGACUCCUACGGGAGGCAGCAGUGGGGAAUAUUGGACAAUGGGCGCAAGCCUGAUCCAGCCAUACCGCGUGGGUGAAGAAGGCCUUCGGGUUGUAAAGCCCUUUUGUUGGGAAAGAAAAGCAGCAGGUUAAUACCCCGCUGUUCUGACGGUACCCAAAGAAUAAGCACCGGCUAACUUCGUG